UACGUAGGGGGCAAGCGUUGUCCGGAAUCAUUGGGCGUAAAGAGCGUGUAGGCGGCUCGAUAAGUCCGCUGUGAAAAGUCCAGGGCUCAACCCUGGAAGGCCGGUGGAAACUGUCGGGCUAGAGUCCGGAAGAGGCGAGUGGAAUUCCCGGUGUAGCGGUGAAAUGUGUAGAGAUCGGGAGGAACACCGGUGGCGAAGGCGGGUCUCUGGGACGGUACUGACGCUGAGACGCGAAAGCGUGGGGAGCGAACAGG
rnacentral:rRNA from 1 species